rnacentral:misc_RNA from 1 species
UGGUUCUGGCAUCGAUGAAGAACGCAGCGAAACGCGAUAAGUAAUGUGAAUUGCAGAAUUUUGUGAAUCAUCGAAUCUUUGAACGCACAUUGCACCUUUUGGUAUUCCGAAAGGUAUGCUUGUUCGAGCGUCGUUUAUACCAUAUCAAUCUAGUUAUUGAUGUCAUUGAGUGACUUUUUUUCUCUCUCUCUCCCCCCAAGUCCUAGUCCUCUAGGAUUCGGUCGAGAAAAACACUCCAAAAGCAUUGUUAGCGAUCUUUGACUAGAUUUAAUUAACGCAUUAAAAUUGUUUCGUUAGUAGAAGAAGUCUUGAAGAUCUGCCAAAUCAAAAAACGUCAAGAGGAAAAGAUAUCUGUCUUCCCUUUUGCUCUUUUUUAUUAUCGACCUCGAAUCAAGUAGGAUUACCCGCUGA